UUGUGGAGGAGGACGCCGAAGGUGGGGCUAAUGACUGGGGUGAAGUCGUAACAAGGUAGCCGUACCGGAAGGUGCGGCUGGAUCACCUCCUAACAGGGAGACAACAAAAUGUUUAAUAUUAUUAUUUUGUCACCUUAGGUCGAUCGGUACCUCACAUUUUUAAUUUAUUAAAAAUUUCAUUUCCUAAGUUUUUCUAGGUCACACCCAUUAUUUUCCUGGGCCAUUAGCUCAGGUGGUUAGAGCGCACCCCUGAUAAGGGUGAGGUCCCUGGUUCAAGUCCAGGAUGGCCCAUAUCUCUAUGUUGGGGGUAUAGCUCAGUUGGUAGAGCGCCUGCUUUGCAAGCAGGAUGUCAGCGGUUCGAGUCCGCUUACCUCCACUGAUUACCACCUCUUCCAUAAAAUGUAGAAGGGAAAUGUUUUGAGUUGUGAUCACUUUCUGAACGAAUCUAGCUUCCUAAUGUAAUCAUUAAGAUGCUGGACUCAUUGAAUUAAUUUCAUUGAUUUCAGAGAACCUUGACAACUGCAUAGAUUAUUUUUAAAGACAAUAAGCAUCUUUAAUGAUGCAGAUUUAUUAUUUGUGCGAAUGCAUUAAUAACAAUUCUAUUAAGCUGAUGCUUCAAUUUUGAAGUUAUUGGUCAAGCUACAA
rnacentral:misc_RNA from 1 species